rnacentral:snRNA from 1 species
AUAAAAUAGACAACGAUACAGCUAAGAUUAGGAUGGCCACUGCACUCCAAGGAUGACACGCACAAAUAGAGAAAUCGAUCCAAGUAAUUUUUUGAGAUUU